UACGUAGGGUGCGAGCGUUAUCCGGAAUUAUUGGGCGUAAAGAGCGCGCAGGUGGUUGAUUAAGUCUGAUGUGAAAGCCCACGGCUUAACCGUGGAGGGUCAUUGGAAACUGGUCGACUUGAGUGCAGAAGAGGGAAGUGGAAUUCCAUGUGUAGCGGUGAAAUGCGUAGAGAUAUGGAGGAACACCAGUGGCGAAGGCGGCUUCCUGGUCUGUAACUGACACUGAGGCGCGAAAGCGUGGGGAGCAAACAGGAUUAGAUACCCCGGUA
rnacentral:rRNA from 1 species